AGAAAGUAUGGGCGAUGUUGGCUGUUGUUUUUCGCUCCAGUCAGAUUUUUCAGGUCGACAGAUAAAAUUGAUUUCCAUGUAUUCGUAGAUGAGAUGGGUUAUUGCCAUCUAAGAAUCCCACUAAGGCUGAUGUUGAGGAAGCACCAUUCGUCGAGUUUUAACCAGCUUUCUAUUGCUAUAGGACUCGAGCUGCAUACUUAGUGCUUGUCCCGGCGAAUGCUGAUUGAAUUUCCGUUGGUAACUUCUCAGCUCGGUUCAAUAACAAUUAGAGCAUACAAUUUCGGCCAAUGGCGAGGGGUGCAUAAGUCUCCGGUGGUGUUCUACGGGUCUCCAAAUGGGGUGCCUCCAAAAAGACCAUCUAGUUUGCUGCGAUUGCUGAAUGAGAUACAGGUUGAUUUUGUAUGCUAUGAGUUGAUUUUCAAGCAUAGAAUGGACUUUAGAAAGAAAGCAUCUCUCCACGUGAUUUGUCAGUUAAUAGUCUCAUGGGGGUGGUUUUUGAUUUUCUUCUUGAUAUCUAUUUAUCUGUUAUAGCCAAUUCCAAGUUCCAGCUUUUGCUUCUAACUCUUGAUUGUUUCUGAGUGUCAAGCAAUAGACUGAAUGAAAAGCCAUAAGUAGAAGUAGGAAGUAAAAAGGACUGGGUGGCGAAACGAGUUUUGUUUGUAAUGUCAUGUAGUGCAUAAUAGCGCUAGUACUUGAAAAGCAUUUGGUGACAUUACUUAGAACUUCUGUCUAACACUUAAUGUAACAGUAUUUGCUUGUCAUUUGGGUUUUUGAAAUCUAAGUUUGGCUCGACCAUCAACAAAUUCUUUGCCAGGGUCUGCCUUGUCACUUAUACUUUGCUUUGGAGUUCCAUAAGAGGCAAAAUGCUGAUAAAAUGGAGAUGAGAUGGAUGAUCUUCUGAUAUUAGUUGUCUUGGCGGUGUUGCUUGAAAAGUACUCAAUCCAGGGAAACCAAGAAUGGGUAGUGAAGCGUGAUUCUUCAACUAAAGGUAGGCUGACUUUGUAUCUUGCUACUUCUAUUAACUAUCAUUGCAUCGGUAGUCAUGGAUGGUGUAUGCAAUACACACUCACAUACUAUGAGCUUCAUCUUUAUGCCUUUGGAUAUCUUGACAUAAAUUUGUGUAGACAUCCCAUCAGGUGAAAGGCUGUCUUGUUCUUUUUCACAGUGCCUUCCAGCUACAAAUUUCCAUUAUUCUUCUUGAGACCUUUCACGUUUGAUGCGAGAGAACUGUGUUAGGUUUAUUGAAGAAAAGCAGCUUUAAAUGAGGUCUCUGAUACCUGUGUGGUCCAUCUUUGUUCGAGUAGUGACUUAUCUUAACAUUUCAUUUUUGAGGAAUAUUGCACUUAAAAGCAGUUAUGAAGAUGGAAAUAAAAAAAUAUUGUAACUUUGAAUGAUGUACCUCUUUUGGAAGUUGAGACAAUUUUGAUUUCAUGGAUAGGAUUGAGGGAAACAUAUUGCAUGUUGUGCUUAUCUUAGAUUGGGCUAUCUGGGCAACAUUAUUCAAUUGAUCUUCCAUUUAGGGGAUGAGUUCAGUAUGAUACUUCUUUUGAAUGAGCAUUGAGUGUUGGAGCUGCAUUGAACACUACCCAGAUGCUUUCCUUGCCGCAGUGAUUUUAUCUUUUUCCCCUCUUUGAAGCCAAUUAUCCUACCUCAAGUCACAAUUUCCAGGCAUAAAGUCAGAGAGAAGGGGCAGCUGAAGACUGGUUAUAAAUUCACAGUGCCGGGUCACUGGAAAGUACUGGUCGAGUGAUGCUAAUGGCACAGCUAAGAUGAUUUACGCAUGGUACACUAGAACUAUGUGUCAGAUUUGAAGUGAAUUUGAGAUUCAGGCAGGGAAGAAUCUGCAACUUGAUGAGUCAGCAUGUGCCUUAUGAUUACUACAUCUGCCUAUCAAAACACUAGCAAUAUCUUGUGUUAUACAUUUUUUUCCCUUGUCUAUGUUAAAUCUUUCCAUGGAAUAUAACAAGAUUUUUGUAGUGUCAAUAGCAGCAUUGCUUGCAUGCAGGAAAAUUUUCUCGUCAUUUGAUACCAAAGGCUGCGUUUAAGGACUACUCCCAUGUGGGUGCAUUAAUUCGGAGUGCAAGGGAGACAGACAGAAGAUAUGAAAAGUUGUCUGUCAAGAAAGAUUCCAGCACAUCGACAGGUCAGAUAUUUGUGGACACUGCUGUCUAUUCAAGGAAUUGAUGCUUUUUCUUUGGCUCUAUCAUCCAAGGGAGGCAAGAGUUCUGUCCUUCAGCCGAUUGGGCUUUUCAAAUGCAAGGACAUGGUACGUUACUCCUUGUAAUUUGAGGUCUACAGACUCAUGAAACAUCUUUGGAACAUUGGUGUGAUGAAUUGUUCCUAGUUCGCUCAAAAUGUUCCUCAAAACUACUAGCAAAGGGUUCUUUUAUGCCUUUGUAUCAUUUGAGAAGGUUAGAUUAACACAUGAGAAAAUGUGCAUAUGCACCCUGAGAAGAGAAUUUAUUGUGAUAGUGCUUGAAACAGUAGUGAAUCUAUCCCAGUUGCUCCUUAAAGGUUCAUGUGCUCAUUGACGCUCAAAAUGAGCUUACUCUCUCCUGGCAGCGUGAGGAAGACAUGAUCAUGGCUUUUUUGAUCUGCAUUGCGGAUUUUGAUUGUCACAAGCUCCUAGCCUGCAAAUGGAGUUAGAUUGUGGAAAGAAACUUCAGUUUGAUACAGAGGUAGUUACAAAUUUGAAUCAGUUCUUGUAUUUGGAUCUCUUCAUGAACUGUAUUCAUAUGAUUUGCUGUACAUAUUAUUAUCAGCAAAAAUAUUAUUUGUCUUGAGUUGGUGGAGCUAAUUUCAGGAAACAUCUUUGCAUAGUGGACUAGUGUGCUAGAAUUCUAUGUGGUCUCUCAUGUGAUGGGACUUUUUCUCCCCUACGCAGGUUAAUAUUGAUUUGGGAAGGUACUGUCUUGCUUCGCAAGAAUUUAAUUUCAACUCUUUCAUUAGAGAUAGUUCGGUGAAUUGUUUCACUCGAAAGUCGCCUUUCCCAAUGUUGGAUAAAUUCAUAGAAUCUGUAGCCUCAAUUGGAACUGUAUUAGGUGAUCGCUGUAGUUUUAUUUUUAGAUAAACAGAGUGAUGAAUCAUUUCAGUUGCUUCAUAGUUCAUAGAAUUCUACCUGAGACUGUGUAGGAUAUUAAAGUUAGCGACCUGAAAGAAUUUUAAUGGGACUGAUAUGUCUUAUUUGAAAAGAAGC